rnacentral:rRNA from 1 species
AGGACGAACGCUGGCGGCGUGCUUAACACAUGCAAGUCGAGCGGAAAGGCCAUUUCGGUGGUACUCGAGCGGCGAACGGGUGAGUAACACGUGAGUAAUCUGCCCCUGGCUUUGGGAUAGCCACCGGAAACGGUGAUUAAUACCGGAUAUGACCCGCCCUCGCAUGGGGGUGUGUGGAAAGUUUUUCGGCCAGGGAUGUGCUCGCGGCCUAUCAGCUUGAUGGUGGGGUAAUGGCUCACCAUGGCUUCGGACGGGUAGCCGGCCUGAGAGGGUGACCGGUCACACUGGGACUGAGACACGGCCCAGACUCC